rnacentral:rRNA from 1 species
UCGGGAUUACGGGAUUCACUCCAAACCCCUGUGACAUACCAAUUGUUGCCUCGGCGGAUCAGCCCGCUCCCGGUAAAACGGGACGGCCCGCCAGAGGACCCCUAAACUCUGUUUCUAUAUGUAACUUCUGAGUAAAACCAUAAAUAAAUCAAAACUUUCAACAACGGAUCUCUUGGUUCUGGCAUCGAUGAAGAACGCAGCAAAAUGCGAUAAGUAAUGUGAAUUGCAGAAUUCAGUGAAUCAUCGAAUCUUUCAACGCACAUUGCGCCCGCCAGUAUUCUGGCGGGCAUGCCUGUUCGAGCGUCAUUUCAACCCUCAAGCCCUCGGGUUUGGUGAAGGGGAUCGGCGAGCCCUUGCGGCAAGCCGGCCCCGAAAUCUAGUGGCGGUCUCGCUGCAGCUUCCAUUGCGUAGUAGUAAAACCCUCGCAACUGGUACGCGGCGCGGCCAAGCCGUUAAACCCCCAACUUCUGAAUGUUGACCUCGGAUCAGGUAGGAAUACCCGCUGUUCUUAAGCAUAUCAAUAACCGGAGGAAUUCAUUACGGAGUUUACAACUCAAACCUGGUGAACAUACAAUUGAAGCUCGGCGGAUCAGCCGCUCCGGUAAAACGGGAGGCCGCCAGAGGACCCUAAACUCUGUUUCUAUAUGUAAGUUCUGAGUAAAACAUAAAUAAAUCAAAACUUUCACGGAUCUCUGGUUUCGGCAUCAGAGAAGACAAAGCAUAAAAUAAAUGUGAAUUGCAGAAUUCGUGAAUCAUCAAUCUUGAACGCAAUUGCGCAUUGCGGGGGCUGCGGUUGGCGACUCUCCCCCGACUGUGUGUUGGGGGGAAUGGGAACUUGUGGGAGCGGCAAAUCUAUGGGGGGGUGUGCACUUUAUUGGGUAUAAUAAAACGAGCACCGGUAGGGCGGCGGCGAGCGAUGAUCCCACUCGGAAUGUGACCUCGAUCAGGAGGGAGAUACCCCGCACCUAUACCUACUAUAGACGGGGGGGAAGAGUGU